CCAUCGGCCCUUUUCAGGGCCAUCGAACUAAUGCAAAAGAGUUGAA
rfam:Aedes aegypti strain Liverpool supercont1.59 genomic scaffold, whole genome shotgun sequence.